GACGAACGCUGGCGGCGUGCUUAACACAUGCAAGUCGAACGGAAAGGCCCUGCUUUUGUGGGGUGCUCGAGUGGCGAACGGGUGAGUAACACGUGAGUAACCUGCCCUUGACUUUGGGAUAACUUCAGGAAACUGGGGCUAAUACCGGAUAGGAGCUCCUGCUGCAUGGUGGGGGUUGGAAAGUUUCGGCGGUUGGGGAUGGACUGGCGGCUUAUCAGCUUGUUGGUGGGGUAGUGGCUUACCAAGGCUUUGACGGGUAGCCGGCCUGAGAGGGUGACCGGCCACAUUGGGACUGAUAUACGGCCCAGACUCCUACGGGAGGCAGCAGUGGGGAAUAUUGCACCAUGGGCGGAAGCCUGAUGCAGCAACGCCGCGUGCGGGAUGACGGCCUUCGGGUUGUAAACCGCUUUCGCCUGUGACGAAGCGUGAGUGACGGUAAUGGGUAAAGAAGCACCGGCUAACUACGUG
rnacentral:rRNA from 1 species